rnacentral:rRNA from 1 species
AUGUAUCCUAUUGCUUGGGCUGUUGUGGAGAAAGAAAAUUAUGAGUCAUGGUUCUGGUUUCUUGCCAAAAUAAACCAGGACUUGAAAAUAAGCAAUCAAGGAGAUGGAUAUGUAUUUAUGUCAGAUCAACAAAAGGGACUUAUAGGGGCAAUGGAGGACAUUUUUCUAAAGCUGAGCAUAGAAUGUGUGCAAGACACAUAUAUGCUAAUUGGAAGAAAAAACACCCAGACCAUGAUCUUCAAAAAAGGUUUUGGAGAUGUGCAAAAUCACCAAACAAAGUGA